AUUGAACGCUGGCGGCAGGCCUAACACAUGCAAGUCGAGCGGUAAAGAGAAGCUUGCUUCUCUUGAGAGCGGCGGACGGGUGAGUAAUGCCUAGGAAUCUGCCUGGUAGUGGGGGAUAACGCUCGGAAACGGACGCUAAUACCGCAUACGUCCUACGGGAGAAAGCAGGGGACCUUCGGGCCUUGCGCUAUCAAAUGAGCCUAGGUCGGAUUACCUAGUUGGUGAGGUAAUGGCUCACCAAGGCGACAAUCCGUAACUGGUCUGAGAGGAUGAUCAGUCACACUGGAACUGAGACACGGUCCAAACUCCUACGGGAGGCAGCAGUGGGGAAUAUUGGACAAUGGGCGAAAGCCUGAUCCAGCCAUGCCGCGUGUGUGAAGAAGGUCUUCGGAUUGUAAAGCACUUUAAGUUGGGAGGAAGGGCAGUUACCUAAUACGUAUCUGUUUUGACGUUACCGACAGAAUAAGCACCGGCUAACUCUGUG
rnacentral:rRNA from 1 species